rnacentral:rRNA from 1 species
UAACACAGAGAAAUUUGUGCUAAUACCGUAUACGUCCCUUUUGGGAGAAAGAUUUAUCGGAGAUGGAUGAGCCCGCGUUGGAUUAGCUAGUUGGUGAGGUAACGGCCCACCAAGGCGACGAUCCAUAGCUGGUCUGAGAGGAUGAUCAGCCACACUGGGACUGAGACACGGCCCAG